rnacentral:rRNA from 1 species
GGCCUAACACAUGCAAGUCGAACGGCAGCACAGUAUGUAGCAAUACAUAUGGGUGGCGAGUGGCGGACGGGUGCGUAAUGUGUAGGGAUCUGCCCUGAAGUGGGGGACAACCCGGGGAAACCCGGGCUAAUACCGCAUAAUACUCUACGGAGGAAAUCUGGCACGCAAGUGCUGGGGCUUUAGGAUGAACCUACAUCCGAUUAGCUAGUUGGUGAGGUAACGGCUCACCAAGGCGAUGAUCGGUAGCUGGUCUGAGAGGAUGACCAGCCACACUGGGACUGAGACACGGCCCAGACUCCUACGGGAGGCAGCAGUGGGGAAUAUUGGACAAUGGGGGAAACCCUGAUCCAGCAAUGCCGCGUGGGUGAAGAAGGCCUUCGGGUUGUAAAGCCCUUUAGGCGGGGAAGAAGGUUAUAGGGUGAUAAGCCUUAUAAUUUGACGGUACCCGCAGAAUAAGCACCGGCUAACUCUGUGCCAGCAGCCGCGGUAAUACAGAGGGUGCGAGCGUUAACCGGAUUUACUGGGCGUAAAGGGCGCGUAGGUGGUAAAGCAAGUAAGAUGUGAAAGCCCUGGGCUUAACCUGGGAAGUGCAUCUUAAACUGCUUAACUAGAGUAUGGUAGAGGGUAGUGGAAUUUCCGGUGUAGCGGUGAAAUGCGUAGAGAUCGGAAGGAACGCCAGUGGUGAAGACGACUACCUGGACCAAUACUGACACUGAGGCGCGAAAGCGUGGGGAUCAAACAGGAUUAGAUACCCUGGUAGUCCACGCUGUAAACGAUGAGGACUGGAUGUCAGGCAGCUUGGCUGUUUGGUAUCGAAGCUAACGCGAUAAAUUCUCCGCCUGGGAAGUACGGUCGCAAGAUUAAAACUCAAAUGAAUUGA